AUACGGAGGGGGCUAGCGUUGUUCGGAAUUACUGGGCGUAAAGCGCGCGUAGGCGGCUUGCCAAGUUGGAGGUGAAAGCCCGGGGCUCAACCCCGGAACUGCCUUCAAAACUGGCGAGCUAGAGUCCGGGAGAGGAGAGUGGAAUUCCCAGUGUAGAGGUGAAAUUCGUAGAUAUUGGGAAGAACACCAGUGGCGAAGGCGGCUCUCUGGACCGGUACUGACGCUGAGGUGCGAAAGCGUGGGGAGCAAACAGGAUUAGAAACCCCAGUAGUCC
rnacentral:rRNA from 1 species